rnacentral:rRNA from 1 species
GACGUAGGGUGCAAGCGUUGUCCGGAAUUAUUGGGCGUAAAGAGCGUGUAGGCGGCCCUGUAAGUCCGCUGUGAAAGUCCAGGGCUCAACCCUGGGAUGCCGGUGGAUACUGUCGGGCUCGAGUCCGGAAGAGGAGUGUGGAAUUCCUGGUGUAGCGGUGAAAUGCGCAGAUAUCAGGAGGAACACCAAUUGCGAAGGCAGCUCGCUGGGACGUUACUGACGCUGAGACGCGAAAGCGUGGGGAGCAAACAGG